rnacentral:lncRNA from 1 species
UUUGGGCCUCAGUUGCAACAGAAGAAGGGACUGGUACCCAGCUCGGUGGCUGAGCCAGCACCCUCAGGAAAGAGCCUUAGCCUAGGGCUUGGACAGUGUCGUUUACUCUUAUGCACUUUCCCCUAUCAGAGAUGAAUACCAGAAAGGAAGCAGGAAGCUCUGUGUGUAGCGGUCCAGUUGUGGGGCUUCACCAGGAAUUUACCCCAGACAUCACGGGAUUGGAUAUCAAGACCCCUCAUUGGGUUCAGCAGGUUUCCUUCAGGCCACAUUUCAACCCAAGAUUGGUGACCAUUAGAGGGUUUGUGAAAUCAGUGUGGUGGAUGGAGACCACCCCACCAUUAGGAAGAAAAAAUAACCCAGGAGUAAGGUACUGCUCUGUGAAAAUGUGUUUCAGUUUAGUGCAUGAUGGAUGGUG